GUAGAACCUGUUGUAUUAUGAGGGUAUAUAUGAAUUGUAACUCUUUUAUUGGCUACUUUUUUGCAGCUGUAAUCUUGAUAUCUGCUCCUUGCUAUGUUUUCGGAUGUCCCGUGGGGAGAACCUGGCUGCGUUGCUUGUAAUGCAGGUGUGACCAUGGGAACAGCCAUUCUUCUCGAGGAAUAUGAAGGACGCCAUGCUUGCUCAAGAAUCUUUGGUCUGGUUGAUUGCCUUCAGGUAAACAUCUGCUGCCCCUUCAUUCUGCAGUAUGAUAUCUUCCUUUGGUGGAAAAUACUCAACCUGCACUUCCAUGACCUAUUGUCCAACAAAUUAUAUUAUUACAUAUCACCAGUUCUCCUAAGAUAGUUGAAUGAACAUCGAGUGAGUGGCUAUAUUACCAGUU